CAUGCCGUAAACGAUGUCAACUAGCCGUUGGGGACCUUGAGUCUUUAGUGGCGCAGCUAACGCGAUAAGUUGACCGCCUGGGGAGUACGGCCGCAAGGUUAAAACUCAAAUGAAUUGACGGGGGCCCGCACAAGCGGUGGAGCAUGUGGUUUAAUUCGAUGCAACGCGAAGAACCUUACCUGGCCUUGACAUGUCUGGAAUCCUGCAGAGAUGCGGGAGUGCCUUCGGGAAUCAGAACACAGGUGC
rnacentral:rRNA from 1 species